rnacentral:rRNA from 1 species
GGGGAAUUUUGGACAAUGGGCGCAAGCCUGAUCCAGCCAUGCCGCGUGCAGGAUGAAGGCCCUCGGGUUGUAAACUGCUUUUGUACGGAACGAAAAGCCUCUUUCUAAUAAAGAGGGGUGAUGACGGUACCGUAAGAAUAAGCACCGGCUAACUACGUGCCAGCAGCCGCGGUAAUACGUAGGGUGCGAGCGUUAAUCGGAAUUACUGGGCGUAAAGCGUGCGCAGGCGGUCUUGCAAGACAGUGGUGAAAUCCCCGGGCUCAACCUGGGAACUGCCAUUGUGACUGCAAGGCUGGAGUACGGCAGAGGGGGAUGGAAUUCCGCGUGUAGCAGUGAAAUGCGUAGAUAUGCGGAGGAACACCGAUGGCGAAGGCAGUCCCCUGGGCCUGUACUGACGCUCAUGCACGAAAGCGUGGGGAGCAAA